CGGCCAGACUCCUACGGGAGGCAGCAGUGGGGAAUAUUGCACAAUGGGGGAAACCCUGAUGCAGCGACGCCGCGUGAGUGAAGAAGUAUUUCGGUAUGUAAAGCUCUAUCAGCAGGAACGAGACAAGACGGUACCUGACUAAGAAGCCCCGGCUAACUACGUGCCAGCAGCCGCGGUAAUACGUAGGGGGCAAGCGUUAUCCGGAUUUACUGGGUGUAAAGGGGGCGUAGACGGCCAAGCAAGCCAGGGGUGAAAGCCCGGGGCCCAACCCCGGGACUGCCCUUGGAACUGCUUGGCUGGAGUGCGGGAGGGGCAGGCGGAAUUCCUGGUGUAGCGGUGAAAUGCGUAGAUAUCAGGAGGAACACCGGCGGCGAAGGCGGCCUGCUGGACCGCUACUGACGUUGAGGCUCGAAAGCGUGGGGAGCGAACAGGAUUAGAUACCCUGGUAC
rnacentral:rRNA from 1 species